rnacentral:rRNA from 1 species
AUUGAACGCUGGCGGCAGGCCUAACACAUGCAAGUCGAACGAGUGGCGGACGGGUGAGUAAUGUCUGGGAAACUGCCUGAUGGAGGGGGAUAACUACUGGAAACGGUAGCUAAUACCGCAUACCAUCGGAUGUGCCCAGAUGGGAUUAGCUCGUAGGUGGGGUAAAGGCUCACCUAGGCGACGAUCCCUAGCUGGUCUGAGAGGAUGACCAGCCACACGGGAACGGAGAAACGGUCCAGACUCCUACGGGAGGCAGCAGUGGGGAAUAUUGCACAAUGGGCGAAAGCCUGAUGCAGCCAUGCCGCGUGUAUGAAGAAGGUCUUCGGGUUGUAAAGUACUUUCAGUGGGGAGGCGUUACCCGCAGAAGAAGCACCGGCUAACUCCGUGCCAGCAGCCGCGGUAAUAC